CGUGUAGGCGGUCUGAUUAGUCUGAUGUGAAAGCCCUGGGCUCAACCCAGGAAGUGCAUUGGAUACUGUCAGACUUGAAUACGGGAGAGGGUAGUGGAAUUCCUAGCGUAGGAGUGAAAUCCGUAGAUAUUAGGAGGAACACAAGUGGCGAAGGCGGCUUACUGGUCCAUUACUGACGCUGAGGUGCGAAAGCGUGGGGAGCAAACA
rnacentral:rRNA from 1 species